AACGGUGCGAUUCCGUGGCCGUUAGUAAAAGGGAAUCCGGUGCAAAUCCGGAGCUGUACCCGUAGCUGUAUGUUCAAAUAACCCCCAGGAUUCUUUUACCACUGGAGCGACAAGCUCCGGGAAGGUGCCUGAAAAGGGAGAACAAGCCAGAAAACCUGCCCUGAUG
rnacentral:ncRNA from 1 species